CUCCCACCAGAGUCUAGAUGACACCAAAAGCAUGGCCCACUUUAGAGCACUUCUGGAGAGGAGACAUAGGAGGUGGCGAGCUUGAAAUUGGCAAGAUAUUAACCCAAAGGAUAUUGAAGGGGAAAAGAAUUACAGAAUCACUGGGAUGAAUUCUGACCUUAAUCUACUCAAAGGCUACCAAGCUGCUACUACGCAAAUCCUUUCUGGAAGAAGCUUGAUAAUUUAUUGCUAAAACAAGUAGGUAGCACCUCGCCAGGAGAAAUUGGCUUGUGAGGUUAAUGCCUCCUAAUCACUCGACAUGGAGAACCUAUUGAAAUUACACAUCUCUGUUAUCAUCAACUUCAACAUAAGAAGCCUGUUUCUAAAUUGUGGCUGAAAGGAAAUAGUGUUUCCUAGAAGGAUGCUGAGGGACAUAACAAGGGCAAUAUCUGAAGGGGAACCCAUGGGAAUCUUCUCAACAGUUAAAGCCAAGGAACUUGCUUUGAGAAUUGUCCAGCAUAAAGUAAGCUCCUGACACUGAGUUUUCAAAGUAAUCCUGUUGUUAUUUUGUUAGCUUUGAGCAUGUUGCCUGAGCUGAUUAUUGCAGGUGUAUACAAUUAAUGGGUUAAUAGCCAGGAAGUACUCUUUAACAAUAUUUACAUGCAUUGUAUUUUUAAUCUCAAAUUAUCCAUGCCAAACUUCAAAAUAAUUUCUCAUUGCA